GAAAGAAUUACGUUGAUAUCUCCAAGGUCAAGGUCACACUUUGAGUUCAAAGGUCAAAUAUGGCCAUAAAUGAGCUUGUCUGGGCCAUAACUAUGUCAUUCAUUGUGACAUUUUAAAGUCAUUUGGCACAUUUGUUCAGCAUCAUGGGACAGUGUGUCGCACAAAAGAAUCACAUCAAUAUCUCUAAGGUCAAGGUCGCCACGACUAAAAAUAGAUUUACUUUGAAACAAAGGGGGUUAAUUUUGUUUGUUCAGUUCAAAAGUUCAGUUUGAGUUUUCUCCCUUUAUCAGACUUUUUUUUUUAACAAUGAAAACCUGGUUUUGUGACAAUUUUGUCCCUUGUUAUUUCAUUAAAAUGCUAAUACAA